rnacentral:rRNA from 1 species
AGAGUUUGAUCAUGGCUCAGGACGAACGCUGGCGGCGUGCUUAAUGAAUGCGAGUCGAGCGAAGGGUCGAGAUAAGCUUGCUUAAAUCGGUUCUUAGCGGCGAACGGGUGAGUAACACGUAGGGAUCUGCCUUUUUGACUGGGAUAACAGCGAGAAAUUGCUGCUAAUACCGGAUACGCUGGAGACAGGAAAGGUUUAUGACUGGAAACGGUCAUACGCCGCUUAAAGAGGAACCUGCGGCCCAUCAGCUAGUUGGCGGGGUAACAGCCCACCAAGGCGACGACGGGUAGCCGGUCUGAGAGGAUGAACGGCCACACUGGGACUGAGACAUGGUCCAGACUCCUACGGGAGUUAGCAUCAGGGGAUCUUGCGCAAUGGGCGAAAGCCUGACGCAGCGACGCCGCGUGGGGGAUGACGGCUCUCGGGUUGUAAACCCCUGUCCAGGGGGACGAACAAAUGACGGUACCCCUGGAGGAAGCCACGGCUAACUACGUGCCAGCAGCCGCGGUAAUACGUAGGUGGGCAAGCCGUUGUCCGGAUUUACUGGGCGUAAAGGGCCAGGUAGGCGGUCUGAUAAGUCAUCCGUUAAAGCCCCAGGCUCAACCUGGGAUCUGCAGGUAUUACUGUCAGACUAGAGUGUGCUAGAGGAGAGCGGAACUGCCAGUGUAGCGGUGGAAUGCGUAGAUAUUGGCAGGAACGCCAGUGACGAAGGUGGCUCUCUGGGGCAUGACUGACGCUGAGCUGCGAAAGCCAGGGUAGCGAACGGGAUUAGAUACCCCGGUAGUCCUGGCCGUAAACGAUGGUCACUAGGUGUUGGAGGUAUCGACCCCCCCAGUGCCGCAGUUAACGCAUUAAGUAUCCCGCCUGGGGAGUACGACCGCAAGGUUGAAACUCAAAGGAAUUGACGGGGGCCCGCACAAGCGGUGGAGCAUGUGGUUUAAUACGUCACUAACCGUAGAACCUUACCCAGGCUUGACAUCCGNCGUAAGUGCUUGAAAGGGUUACCCCUGCAUGGUAACAUGCAGCAGCGAGACAGGUGUUGCAUGGCUGUCGUCAGCUCGUGUCGUGAGAUGUUGGGUUAAGUCCCGCAACGAGCGCAACCCUCAUCCGAUGUUGCCAGCGUAAAGUCGGGAACUCUUCGGAAACUGCCCGUGUAAGCGGGAGGAAGGUGGGGAUGACGUCAAGUCAGCAUGGCCCUUACGCCUGGGGCUACACACAUGCUACAAUGGACGUGAACAAAGGGCAGUAAUACCGCGAGGUGGAGCUAAUCUCGAAAAUACGUCCUCAGUUCGGAUCGCAGUCUGCAACUCGACUGCGUGAAGUCGGAAUCGCUAGUAACCGCAGGUCAGCUAAACUGCGGUGAAUACGUUCCCGGGCCUUGUACACACCGCCC